rnacentral:rRNA from 1 species
UCCGGAGGGUGCAAGCGUUGUUCGGAUUUACUGGGCGUAAAGGGCGUGUAGGCGGUUCGCUAAGACAGAUGUGAAAUCCCUUGGCUUAACCAAGGAACGGCAUUUGUGACUAGCUAACUAGAGUACAGGAGAGGGAAGUGGAAUUCCCAGUGUAGAAGUGAAAUUCAUAGAUAUUGGGAGGAACACCGGUGGCGAAGGCGGCUUUCUGGGCAGAUACUGACGCUGAGACGCGAAAGCGUGGGUAGCAAACAGG